rnacentral:rRNA from 1 species
AUUGAACGCUGGCGGCAGGCCUAACACAUGCAAGUCGAGCGGAUGAGUGGAGCUUGCUCCAUGAUUCAGCGGCGGACGGGUGAGUAAUGCCUAGGAAUCUGCCUGGUAGUGGGGGACAACGUUUCGAAAGGAACGCUAAUACCGCAUACGUCCUACGGGAGAAAGUGGGGGAUCUUCGGACCUCACGCUAUCAGAUGAGCCUAGGUCGGAUUAGCUAGUUGGUGAGGUAAAGGCUCACCAAGGCGACGAUCCGUAACUGGUCUGAGAGGAUGAUCAGUCACACUGGAACUGAGACACGGUCCAGACUCCUACGGGAGGCAGCAGUGGGGAAUAUUGGACAAUGGGCGAAAGCCUGAUCCAGCCAUGCCGCGUGUGUGAAGAAGGUCUUCGGAUUGUAAAGCACUUUAAGUUGGGAGGAAGGGCAGUAAGUUAAUACCUUGCUGUUUUGACGUUACCAACAGAAUAAGCCCGGCUAACUACGUGCC